UUUUCCUCGAGGACCAACAAUGAUGACGCCGCUGCCAACAGAACCUUGCAUGGUCCUAUGUGUAUGAAUACACAGAUCUUGUAAGGCAGCACUUGUGCUCCACACUCUUCCAUUUUAACAGGAGGCCGUCCAGUGUCCUCUCCGUGGGCAACGCCACCAGGCCCCAGACACAAGGAGUCAAAGCAGGUAGACGGCAGCAUGAAGCGCACCGACUGUGCCCAGAGCCUUCUGCUCAGUGAUGGGGGCACUGGGAGGAAGGACGCAGGUAAGCAGGUGGCAGAAAAUGGCUAUUUCUAGCUGAAAGAUUCAAGAAAGCCUUCAAGAAGGAGGUGGCAUUUGGCAUUCAUGCAGGCACAGUGGUCGGCCUCUGCGCCCCAGCCACUCUGGGCUGGAUCCUCCUUCAUGGACAGUCUAUCCUGUGUAUCGCAGGAUGUUGGGCAGCAUCCCUGGCCUUCCUACCCAUGCCAGUGUACCUCUCCCCAAGUCACGACAACCAGAAACAUGUGCAAAUAUUGCCCGUUAUCUCCUGGGGAGCAAAAGCUCACUGGUGGAGAACCACUCACUGCUCCAAAGCGAUAAGCAAGGUGUGCUCGUGUGAGAAAAUGAGCAGUGGCUCCUAUGUCUUUCCGACUUUUCGUUUUAUUAUUUUUUUGAUGCAACUGUUUUCUCUUGCCUCUGUAUAUGAUACUAAAAAGCUCGAGAUAGGGGAUCCCUGAGUGGCUCAGUGG